rnacentral:rRNA from 1 species
UACGUAGGGUGCGAGCGUUAAUCGGAAUUACUGGGCGUAAAGCGUGCGCAGGCGGUUUGCCAAGCUCGAUGUGAAAGCCCCGGGCUUAACCUGGGAACGGCAUUGAGGACUGGCAAGCUCGAGUGCGGCAGAGGGGGGUGGAAUUCCACGUGUAGCAGUGAAAUGCGUAGAGAUGUGGAGGAACACCGAUGGCGAAGGCAGCCCCCUGGGCCGACACUGACGCUCAUGCACGAAAGCGUGGGGAGCAAACAGG